rnacentral:rRNA from 1 species
AGUGGCGCACGGGUGAGUAACACGUGGGAACAUACCUCAUAGUACGGAAUAACUGCGGGAAACUGUAGCUAAUACCGUAUAUUCCAGAAAUGGGAAAGAUUUAUCGCUAUGAGAUUGGCCCGCGCAAGAUUAGCUUGUUGGUAAGGUAACGGCUUACCAAGGCUCCGAUCUUUAGCUGGUUUGAGAGGAUGAUCAGCCACACUGGGACUGAGACACGGCCCAGACUCCUACGGGAGGCAGCAGUAGGGAAUAUUGGACAAUGGGGGAAACCCUGAUCCAGCAAUGCAGCGUGAGUGACGAAGGCCUUAGGGUUGUAAAACUCUUUCAUCGGUGAGGAUAAUGACAGUAGCCGAAGAAGAAGGACCGGCUAAUUCCGUGCCAGCAGCCGCGGUAAUACGGAAGGUCCUAGCGUUGUUCGGAAUUACUGGGCGUAAAGCGCAUGUAGGCGGAACAAAAAGUUAGAAGUGAAAUCCCUGGGCUCAACCUAGGAAUUGCUUUUAAAACUUUUGUUCUGGAAUUCAGGAGAGGAAAAUGGAAUUUCCAGUGUAGAGGUGAAAUUCGUAGAUAUUGGAAGGAACACCAGUGGCGAAGGCGAUUUUCUGGACUGAUAUUGACGCUGAGAUGCGAAGGCAUGGGUAGCAAACGGGAUUAGAUACCCCGGUAGUCCAUGCAGUAAACGAUGGGUGCUAGUCGUCGGACUUUUGUUCGGUGUCGUAGCUAACGCGUUAAGCACCCCGCCUGGGGAGUAC